GCGGCGGACGGGUGAGUAACGCGUGGGUAACCUACCCCAAAGUCCGGGAUAACAGCGGGAAACCGCUGCUAAUACCGGAUGCCUUUACCUUGGGGCAUCUUGAGGUAAAGAAAGGUAACGCUUUGGGAUGGGCCCGCGUCCCAUUAGCUAGUUGGUGAGGUAACGGCUCACCAAGGCGACGAUGGGUAGCCGGCCUGAGAGGGUGGACGGCCACACUGGGACUGAGACACGGCCCAGACUCCUACGGGAGGCAGCAGUAGGGAAUAUUGCGCAAUGGACGGAAGUCUGACGCAGCGACGCCGCGUGAGCGAUGAAGGUCUUCGGAUCGUAAAGCUCUGUCCUUGGGGAAGAAGGCGAAAGCUUGACGGUACCCAAGAAGAAAGCCCCGGCUAACUACGUGCCAGCAGCCGCGGUAAUACGUAGGGGGCGAGCGUUGUCCGGAAUUACUGGGCGUAAAGGGUGCGUAGGCGGCCCUUUAAGUCGGAUGUGAAAGCCCGCG
rnacentral:rRNA from 1 species